ensembl:lncRNA
GUUAAAGUCGAAACCAAUUGAUCAUCGAUAUUCUCACGUUUAUCGCAUCUGUGGUCUUUCCAUGACUGUUUUCGACACAGUCGUACAUAGUACGCCAUCGUUUAAUCGAAUAAUAUUGCUGUUAAUGUGUGGUUUGUGUAUAUGUAUAAAUAUAGCGUGUUAAAAUAAUUCUCCAUCCAUCCAGCCAUCCAUCAGUGAUUCGGUGUUCGUCUGUGUAUGUCUGUGUGUAACAUGACAUUUGAAAGUAGCUACUAGUUUAUUUUGCCACAUUAACACAGUAAACAGAUACCGAUUUUAUGUUAACAUGCAUGAAGCGCACAUUCAUGUGGCAUCACGUGACGUAGUUUUGUAUGUUAUGUAUCAUGUACUUCCGGUGAGGUUUUGUAACAAUGAUUGUGCGCUUAUGUAAUUAUUCACAGCUGCACAAUAAAGACUGGGUUUGUUCGUUAACUGCAGCGGAUCUCAUUAUUUACACUGGCAGUGGACGCAGAGCCGGAUCAACCGGAACCGCAGCUCCUGUGGUGGGGAACGUGAUUCUGCAUGAUAAGCUGAAGUUCUGGACGGAUCCACGUGGAUCAGUGCACUACCAUCAGGGUCUUCACGCGGGUGGAAACACGCUGAACACUCUCUGUGCUCUGAGAGUUGCACGCAUUCUGUCCACUGGUGCUUUUGUUAGUAUGGCUGAUCCUGAAGCACGAGCCGCUGUACUGUCGGAUUACAUAGAGUUCAUGACGCGUCCCGGCGCACACAACGACACAUACGCCGAGUCUUUCCAUAGAAGCUUCUUCUCUGACUGGCAGGAACUCAGACCUACGUCCUCUAGAGAGGUUCUGGAGUUUGCGGAGCAGCGCUCCAAAUGCAUGUUGAGCACAUCCCGUGCUGAUAGCCAGCUGAAUGCUAUAGGAUGUCUUCCCAUGGCCAUUCCCUUUGUCCUGCUGUCUGCCACAGCCAAUGAGGAGAAAGCAGUUUCUGCAGCGGUGGAGUUUGUAAAGCUCACUCAUCCUCAUCCAGCACUGGAGCCGCUGGUGUCUCUGUACAUGCGAGCGCUUCACGCCACACUGAACGGAGCAUGUCUGAAACAACAGGCGGAGAUGGCGCUCAAAUCACCCGUGCUGGACACCUGGGACGUGUGUCAACACUUUAUACAGUGUGCAGAGAGGUCAGCAACUCAUAUUACACCACAAAAAACAUUAGAAAAAACAAUGACCUAUUUAUUACAAACAGAAAACUUUAGGACCAUUAAGACCUUAUGCAUUGUGAUAUUAUUCUCAUGA